GAGGUUAUAGCUUAAUUGGUAGAGCAUACUGCUCAUGACAGUAUUAGUGAGUGUUCAACUCACUCUGACCUUA
rnacentral:tRNA from 1 species